CUCCCACAUUCAAAAUGACAUUGUGAUGCAUAUGAAGUCGGAAGUCAGCAUCCCGGAUAUUUUUACUUACAUUAGCUUGCAUUAUUUCAACCCCUACACACUCAGCGCCAUCCAGCUAGCCAUAACGCAGACCAGUACCUCUUUACGUGCAACCAUCUCAAAUUUCGAAAUUGGUACUGAUGAGGAUGCUGGAAAAAAAUCAUGGAAAACUUUGCCCAGAUGCUACUCCCGUGGUUCAGAUGAAUAAUUGUGGAGGCAGAGUCUAGCGAGCUGGAGUGGAUGGAUUGGAUGCCUCUGUCCCGGACGAUAGAAAAUGCAAAUUCGCGGCGUCAAUGUCAGCUGAAAUGACUGCCUAAAAAUAAAUGACUAAUGGAUGGUCACUGA